rnacentral:rRNA from 1 species
AGUCUAACCUGCCCAAUGAUGAUUUAAAUGGCUGCAGUAUCCUAACUGUACAAAGGUAGCAUAAUAAUUUGUUUUAUAAUUGAAGAAUGGAAUGAAUGGUUUGACAAGGGUGUGACUGUCUCUUAUGUAUUUGUUUGAAGUUAAUUUUUAGGUUAAAAAGCUUAAAUUAAAUUAAAGGACGAGAAGACCCUAUUGAGCUUAAAUUAAUAAUAAUAUUAAUAAAAAAUGGUUGAAAUUAAUUAUAGAAUUUUAUAGUUUUAGUUGGGGCGACUAGGGGACAAAUAAAGCUCCCUUUUAUAUUUUAUAAAGUUGUUUAUUGAUCCAAUUUUUUUGAAUUAAGACCAAGCUACCAUAGGGAUAACAGCGUUAUCUUUUUUGAGAGUUCUUAUCGAAAAAUAGGAUUGCGACCUCGAUGUUGGAUUAAGAUUUAAUAGAGGUUGCAGAAGCUUUUAUGUUUAGUCUGNNCGA